CUUACAAUCACAAUAGUAAACGCUCCAUACUCAUAGAUUAUUGACUUUACCUUUCCUUUACCUUUCAAUAAGUGAGUUGAGUAUAGUCCUUUCCUUUACCUUUUCAUAAGUGAGUUGAGUAUAGUAGUGUAUAAGUCGUAAUAUGAUUCAAUGCUAUUAUAUGAGAUGAGUAGUAAUUCCAAAUCAAUUAUUUUCUAUUACUUUACUUCAUAUCUUUGAAUUGGAAUCUAUGUGAGCAAUUAAUUAGUUGAAAAGCGAAACCCUACCACCGAACUUUGAACCUUCUUCAUUCACUCAUUGGCACAGUACCCUUUAUCCACCUUAUCCCUUGGCCAUAUAUGUCGGGACUGAUGGGCGGGCUGCUCAACUCUCACUCUAUAAUAGUAAGGCUAUUAAGAAAGUGGUUAUGAGAAGAUCUCCUUCCAUCAGGCUUUCCUAAUUAAUAAGAUCAAUAGGUUCCUGCUAAUUAAUAUAAUAAGAUCAAUAGGUUCCUGGGCUUGGUCCUAGUCCGCACUUUUACUGAGACUCGUUCUUCUAGGUCAAAGUCUUAUCUGGCUGGGAAUAGAUAAGUGGGUUCAAGUCUUAUCUGGCUGGGAAUAGAUAAGUGGGUUCAAGUCUUAUCUGGCUGGGAGGGAAUAGAUAAGUAAGCGUCACGUGGGCCCUACCAAAGAGGUGCCUUCGCCGUCCUGUCCUUGUUUUUGGUCAAUGUGCUUUCUAGCCGUGCUGUGACAUAUGAUUGUUAUGGUCUUAGGGCAUCUGGUCUUCAACAUACUUUGCACUUAGUUUGUAUACUCCUUUUGGCGACCCAUUCCUGUUCUAGGCGAAGCAGUCGUCUACUUUUGUUCGUAUCUGGGCUCUGAGCUAGCAGCUCUUAACGUGUGGUAAUCGAAUGGAGCUUUUCUCAUUUCCUUUUCUUCGUAAUAUGGAUGAGUGCGCGUCCUUUGUCUGCUCGGUUUCUAUUGACGGCUGGUGAAUUCUUCGUCUCGUACGGAGGCUCCCUGCGAUUGAGUGAGGGGGUCGAUCUCUUUCUUUCCCAAAGUCAAAGCAGCUCCAAAAGUAGAUAGUACCGUGUAUUCCAAUUAGUCAGCUAUACACCUUCUUAGCUUAGGGUAGGGCGGUCAAGGGAAAUAUAGAAUCUAUUCUCUAACCAGUGAUAUUACAUGAAAGGCAGAGGGUGAUGCUAAAUCAGAAACACAUAUUAGGGACAGAGCGCUAUCCUUACAGGCGUAAAUGCAUCAGCAAGAACAUUCCUUUCUACUGCUGAUGAUCUGGUAGACAUUAACUUUGCACCAACACCCGACUUGAUAACGGAUUCUGAUCCUGCACUCUGAAGAUUCAUUCUCAUCGCUUUAACUGAGAUCGUAUAGAAAUAGAGAAUCUUACCGAAAUCCAUACUAAACACCGCAUUCCUAAAAGAAUAAUUACCUAUUUCAAACCACAAAUCACUAUAAUUGCUGGACCACUACUCUUGGAAAGGCUUGGUCCCUUCUUUCAUUUACUCUAGUCUAGGGGCAAAUAACUCCGUAAGCCGAAAACUGUCAUUGAACUUGCCCGAACCUCUCUCUAUGCAAUAACGGAACUAGAUUCUUACUUGAACCCGAAACUCAACUUGAUACUGGACCUAUAACAGAAGGGGACUUAUAUGAUCUUCGUCGACUCAACUUUAGACUCAAGCGCUUCUUCCUGCAAUACCUGAUUUAGAAGAUUCAACACUUUCACCUUUAUCUCUCGUAGCCAAACAUAUUAGGCGCUGUAAUCGCCCUUGCGCAACGGCUAAUUCACUAAUAAUGUAAUGGCUUGCAAAGCUCCUAAUGCCGAUGAUAUAACUCGCUUACUUGUUCACCGCAACACCUCUGAUUCCCUAAUUACCCUUUUGCUAUAUGAUACUAAACUCAUACGAUACUAAACUCCACUGUCUUAAUCCUUUAUUUCAUCUUUCGAUUCAAAUGCAGAAACAGAAGAUAAGAGAUAACUCUCGUUAGCGCAUACCGAACUCCAAUCCAAUAAGUUGUAGCGCAGAGGAAAACACAUCCAAAUUCAACAAGAGCAGAAAGAGACUCUGCUCAAGCAAGCUCGCACGACUACUCACUCGUUUACCCUUUUCAAAUGAAGCAAGCAAAGAUCUCGUCUACAACACGCAGGCAUUCUCCUCGGCUUCGGCAACGGAUCCUGCUACUACUUACUAUCAGAGUGGAACUAAGGCGUAUGAGACUUUGACUCCUACCCACGAGCCUGCUACUGCAGCUUUUAGUCAUGAAAUAGGAAACUUGUAAUCCAGCUACUCCUUAUCAGGUUGAAACAAGCAACAGGGUGUUAGCUAAAGAAUAGCGCUACCACUAAUAAGAGAACUCAUUGAAACCACGGCCUUGAAUAGUCAAAUCAAAGAAACAGAAUCAAUCAAACAAGGGCUUAACCAUAAGGGAAUAAGAGAACCGAACUGAUGGCAAACAGGCUUGUCCUGGCGCUUCUCUCAUUCUUUUACGAACAAUGAGGGAUUGAACUAAUGCUACCUGGCCUGUCACUCAUACCGUUAAGUAUGCAUUGCCCACCUUUGAUUCCCAAACUCAUGGAUCUUCACCUAUCUUUCAUAUCUCUAAGUCUUUGUCCCUUUGCUCUCCACUCUUUCGCUCCCUUCCUUCUUAUUAUCAGUAGAUUUAUUCCUUUGGAUCGGUAGUACAGUACUAGUUAAUAGCUAAUAUCAUAUGAAAACACACAUGCUAAUAUACAUGCUAAUAUAAGAUAGUAGAAUAUGCUAAUAUAAGAUAGUAGAAUCAUUAGUAAUGGAAAUGGCAACAACGAGAUCUACAGCUGGAUAAGAAGAAAUGGUCCUUUAACUUAUUAGUAACAGGAUGUGCUAACAUAACACACAGGGGUAGAAAGCAACUCAUUAAUGUAAGAAUUAACCCCAUAAAAGCAGAAUUCCAGUAUAGGAUAUAAGGAUGAAAGACAUAAGUCAGAAUUAAGAGGAUAUAAGGAUGAAAGACAUAAGUCAGAAUGAGAGUCAGAAUACUGGUCUCCACUACGUUACCGGCUCUAAACACCUAGAAGCCCCAUAAUGGAAAUCAAGAAUGAGUCAUUGGAGAGAAACAGGAGAAUUCCACUACAGCGUAUAAGACAGAAAUAGUGCCUAGAAAGAAUGGAACAGUGCCCAACAACCGCUUAAACUCAUAGGAAUGCGACUCAAACUAUUAGAAUGUUACACCAUAUAGAAGGCUUUGACUACUCACUAUAGGUGCUGAAAGCCUCGAAACUUAGGCUUUCACUAUCGCUUCUAAGGCUUUCGCUCCCAAACACAACUCACGAAUAAACACCAGUUCUGAGAAUAGUAGUCAUAUAUCUCAUAAUGAAAAUACGAUACAAGAACUCAAUCCUGCAGUGGAAGCCUUACUUGUUUGUUUGAAGUCACCAAGCGUAUACUAGCGUUGGGUGUUAGCGAGUCAAGUCCCUGGUUCCUAUUUGUUUGUUACUUAUUUAUAUUCCUUUGUUCAUCCACCUGUUUUCGUUCCUUUCCUCGUGUUAUUAUUAAGUCCUGUUUAAACCUCUCCGAUUUCCCUCUUUCGGCCGUAGAUCACUGAGCGCCUAUCUUGCUUUUCGAUCAGCUCACCUCACUUAGCCUACGAACUGGUUAUGAGAGCUCUUUCCUUGCUUCUAAAGAAGGCAAGCCCCUUAUUAGAAUUCGCUGGUUAUGAGAGCUCUUUCCUUGCUUCUAAAGAAGGCAAGCCCCUUAUUAGAAUUCGCUGGUUAUGAGAGCUCUUUCCUUGCUUCUAAAGAAGGCAGCAGGGGAAAGGAAGGUAGCAUCCAGAGAAAAGGUCCAUAUCUNNNNN
rnacentral:lncRNA from 1 species